CCUACGGGAGGCAGCAGUAGGGAAUCUUCCACAAUGGGCGAAAGCCUGAUGGAGCAACGCCGCGUGGGUGAAGAAGGUCUUCGGAUCGUAAAACCCUGUUGUUAGAGAAGAAAGUGCGUGAGAGUAACUGUUCACGUUUCGACGGUAUCUAACCAGAAAGCCACGGCUAACUACGUGCCAGCAGCCGCGGUAAUACGUAGGUGGCAAGCGUUAUCCGGAUUUAUUGGGCGUAAAGGGAACGAGGGCGGUCUUUUAAGUCUGAUGUGAAAGCCUUCGGCUUAACCGGAGUAGUGCAUUGGAAACUGGGAGACUGGAGUGCAGAAGAGGAGAGUGGAACUCGAUGUGUAGCGGUGAAAUGCGUAGAUAUAUGGAAGAACACCAGUGGCGAAAGCGGCUCUCUGGUCUGUAACUGACGCUGAGGUUCGAAAGCGUGGGUAGCAAACAGGAUUAGAUACCCCUGUAGUC
rnacentral:rRNA from 1 species